AUACUUACCUGGCAAGGGAGACACCAUGAUCAAGAAGGCGGUUCACCCAGCGCGAGGCUCUGCCAUUGCACUACGGCUGUGCUGACCCCUGCCAAUCUCCCAAAUGUGGAAAUCUCGAUUGUAGUGGAGGACUACCAGAACCGUGUUUGCGCUUUCC